CCUACGGGUGGCAGCAGUGAGGAAUAUUGGUCAAUGGACGAGAGUCUGAACCAGCCAAGUAGCGUGAAGGAUGACUGCCCUAUGGGUUGUAAACUUCUUUUAUAAAGGAAUAAAACGCGGCACGUGUGCCUUUUUGCAUGUACUUUAUGAAUAAGGCUCGGCUAACUCCGUGCCAGCAGCCGCGGUAAUACGGAGGGUCCGAGCGUUAUCCGGAUUUAGUGGGUGUAAAGGGAGCGUAGAUGGGUUGAUAAGUCAGUUGUGAAAGUUUGCGGCUCAACCGUAAAAUUGCAAUGGAUACUGGGAGGCUUGAGUACAGUAGGGGUAAGCGGAAUUCGUGGUGUAGCGGUGAAAUGCGUAGAUAUCACGAAGAACCCCGAUUGCGAAGGCAGUUUACUAAACUGUGACUGACAUUGAGGCUCGAAAGUGUGGGUAUCAAACAGGAUUAGAUACCCCGGUAGUC
rnacentral:rRNA from 1 species